UAAAAUACAGUGCUACUUGAAGACAAUGGCAGCCCCAUUGGCAUACGGCAGACUAUGGAGAUCAGCGUCUCGUUUCCAGAGGUGGAGGUAAUUAGGUUUAUUUUUCACUUCUCAUUUUGCAAAGGAGUGCCGGGUCGAAUUUCUUGGAGAACUGUCAGGCCCGUAGUGACGCAGAGUGAAUGCAAAUCUACUCAGCCUUUAGCCCCAUUUGUAAUCCUGUAUUAUUUUUAUUUAAUCAUUAAUAUUGGACACAUUUUAUUUUGACUAAAACAUCUCUGGAAUAUAUACAUAUUUUCCUCCACUGUUCAGGAUAUGUCCAAAGAUUGGUAUUUUAAUACGUUUGACUGCGUUAGGAAAACUACUGUCUGCUAAGAAUACAGCCUUGGCAGACAUAAGCAGUCCACAUUCAUGUGGUCUAUUACGCUCAAUCACACUCCAGUCCAGAGGGUGGCAGUAAUGCACUCAACAUCUGGUUUGCACACUGAAGAACAAACAAAAAGGGGGGAAUAAGAAGAACUCUUAUAGUAGUGGCUGUGGUUCUGUGAAAGAACGUCUUUGUUUCGCGCAUAGGAAUGGCUUGUCUUAUUAAUGUUGGGUCGACAUACUCAAAUUAUACAGACUUUAAUAAUGCGCUCACCGCAUUCGAAAAUGAGACUUUCGUCCAGUUUUACCGCCGCGACGCAAGAACAAUUGAAAAAGUCAAACGAUUAAAUCCAAAGCUCCAUUACAAUCCUGAGUUGAAUUAUGUGACCAUACAUCUGACUUGUAUACACGGUGGCAGAAAUGUCUUAUCACAUUAUAAAGGAGUGCGUCCGAAAACGAGGUAGCUAACUUCCAUUUGUAGGUGACUUUUUUUUGCUUGUGUCCAUAGUAAUUUAGCCUACAUAUCUGCGGACAGGGGGCACUGUUUUGCAGCCACCGUCCGUCAUAAGAAUAUUUCAAUGUAAUGUUUUCCAGGACAAUAACUUUUUUUUUUGUAAUGGGGACAGUAUUAAAACGAACUUUUUUUUAAAAUUAGAAAUGUAUUAAGUUUUACAUUUGUUUGAACAAUGCGAAAGAAACAAGAGGUGACCAAAGGGAUUCGAAUGGUGAUGGACACUGACACAAAGCUAAGAGAACAGGCAAGAAAAAGGCAGCCUGGAUCUGGAGCAUUGCCAUUACGUUGCCACAUCGGUGUAGUGGUGGUGGUAUUUUUUUUUUUUUUACCUGUCCUCGAACAACCACCCGGAAGUCUCAGCUUACACUCCGGUUCGCUACGUGGACUCCAGUGGUAAUCAGCUUGGUAAUAACAGGCUACAGUUUACCAACCUUUUGACCUGUGACAGGCCGGAAAACUCUGGUUAUCCACCUACGUGCGCAUGACAUUUGUCAAUGGGUUUCGCGUAGCACUGAACCAUUACAAAUAUAAUUAUAUUUCAAUGCACAGAACGUUAGCCCGGUCAAUUCGAAAAAUGCAUUGAGAAGCCAGUUCCAACACACACAUGUAUAGCUGGCAGGGUUACACAUGUGGUUUCCAUAUAGGCAAUAACAGAUAUUCUUUACUGCUGCUCUACUCGGUCUGAUAAGUUAUGAUUCAAUUCCUAUACUGUGUCUUCUCCAUUCAUUCCGACAUAAAGGUGCAUGACGAGGUGUAGCAGACAUGCUUUAGUCUUUCAAAGAAGACGCGUUGUCAACGACAGUCAAACUAUCGUCAAGCACAAUAUUGCGGGUAAAGAAAUUGUUGACAAACUUAGAUUUUGGAGUGUAAUGUCCCAUUUUAAUGUUACUGCUGUUCUGACUGUCGUUAAAUGCACCUCUAAGCGUUCGAGGAGGUUCGAGAAGAAACUGGUGCUUGACGUGGACAUGGGGGUGGAUGACGCUCAGGCCAUCAUGAUGGCUCUUGCAGCCCCCAACGUGGAGGUCCUGAGGAUCACCUGCGUAAGCGGCUACACCUCCCUGGAAAACUCCAGCAGGAACACACUGCGAGUCCUCAGGGUCUGCCAGAGACUUGAGAUCCCAGUGUUCGGUGGCACUGCGGAGCCUCUGAUGGGCCACCCCCUGUCGGUAGGCUCCUUCCACGGGCUGAGUGGCGCCCCUGACCCAGAUGCCCCGGGCCUGGAGCUGCUGCAGACAGAAGGGGCUGUGGAAGCCAUCAUCAGGCUGGUCAAUGAGAACCCUGGAGAGGUCGGUAACAAAAGGGUUAGGUUCCUAGGGACUAUGAACAGAUGGUGGGAUAUCCUGCUAUGGCCCCACUUGUCCCAUCUGUCUCUAAUCUGCACCCUACAGUCGUUCUGUGACAACUGGCUGGCCCAGGACUCAGACAAGGCCCAGGACUCAGACAAGGCCCGCUUCAUGAAGAACAUCUUCAAACACACCGCUACCAACGUGAGAUGACGGCUGGCCCGGGUUUCGUGACGUGCAACUCGUACGCCAUGGCGACGGCCAUCGAUGGCGGUUUUGUGUGGGUGUCUGAGCCGGUGGCGGUUACCGUGGAGCUUCAGGGGACCGGCACCCGGGGCAUGAUGGUCCUGGACAAGCUGGGAGUCCUGGAGAAGGAGCACCAAGUUGUCAUCAUGAGGAGUGGACCUGGAGAGCUUCAAGGAGAUGUUGAUGGACUCCCUGAAGUAAUAAGGAAACUACACUGAUACCGCUGUCCCAUAUUACUUUAAAUAGUUUAUUUUUACAAAAUUAUAGGGGUGGGCUCCAAAAUUCCACUCUUCGUAAUGAGUUUUGUACAGAUACACAGUGCCUUGCGAAAGUAUUCGGCCCCCUUGAACUUUGCGACCUUUUGCCACAUUUCAGGCUUCAAACAUAAAGAUAUAAAACUGUAUUUUUUUGUGAAGAAUCAACAACA